AGUUUUCUGUAUCCGUGGAGACUUCCUCACACACCAGACCACAAGAGAUGAUGAGACUUCCCAGAAAGUGAAGCG
rnacentral:pre_miRNA from 1 species